GAUGAAGAACGCAGCGAAAUGCGAUAAGUAAUGCGAAUUGCAGAAUUCAGUGAAUCAUCGAAUCUUUGAACGCACAUUGCGCCCGCCAGUAUUCUGGCGGGCAUGCCUGUCUGAGCGUCGUUUCGACCCUCGCGCCCGGCUUCUGUCGGGGGCGGUGUUGGGGAUCGGCCACACCCUUCAGUGGGAGGCCGGCCCCUAAAUUCAGUGGCGACCACGCUGUAGCCUCCCCUGCGUAGUACUAAAACCACCUCGCAGGCGGAGAGCGGUGCGGCCCGCCGUAAAACCCCCCAACAACUUUUACAAGGUCGACCUCAGAUCAGGUAGGAAUACCCGCUGAACUUAAGCAUAUCAAUAAGCGGAGGA
rnacentral:misc_RNA from 1 species